rnacentral:tRNA from 1 species
GGCAACGUGGCUGAGUGGUUAUAGCGAUAGACUAGAAAUCUAUUUCCUUCGGGAGCACAGGUUCGAAUCCUGUCGUUGUCG